rnacentral:lncRNA from 1 species
ACAAGAACAUAAUGAAACGUAACUAUAAGUGGAAGUAACAAAUAUCACACAUCUUGAAAUGAAGCAAAGGAUGAGAACACAUCAAAGAUAAAUUAGCAAAGGAUGAGAUCACAUCUUGGUCUAAAUAUGCUAGAGAGAAAUGAUGGCCUUAGCCAAUUAAACAAAAAAUAAUACAUUCUCACGUGAAACUCCUUGACAUGUAUCUAAAGUGACUCAAUCAACCUUGCAGGCAGGUCAAAUUCGGAGUUUGCUACAAACGACGCCGUCCAAGCAACAGAUUCAU